UACGUAGGGACCGAGCGUUGUCCGGAUUCAUUGGGCGUAAAGGGCUCGUAGGCGGCCAACUAAGUCGGACGUGAAAUCCCCAGGCUCAACCUGGGAACUGCGUCUGAUACUGGAUGGCUUGAAUCCGGGAGAGGGAUGCAGAAUUCCAGGUGUAGCGGUGAAAUGCGUAGAUAUCUGGAGGAAUACCGAUGGCGAAGGCAGGUCUCUGGGCUGACACUGACGCUCAUGCACGAAAGCGUGGGGAGCAAACAGG
rnacentral:rRNA from 1 species